GGUUAGGGGGGGGGGGGAAGGGGGGGAAAGGGGGGGGAGGGCAAGCGAGGGGAGGAGAGGCGGCCCGGGGGGGGUUUUUUUUUUUUUUUUUUUUGGGCGUUUUUUGUUGUUUGUUUGUUGGUUUUUUCCCCCCCCCCCCCGGGGGGCCCUAGGGCUUUAUAACGAAUUUGGAAGACAAGGGAAAUGCCCUUCUUAUCCGGAGGGAGGGGGGGGGACGGUGGAACAAAACGUGAAACACACCCUCCUUGAGAUGUUGGGGUACCCCAUGGAAACAUUGUUUAUAUCCCGGAAAAAACCCCCAGGGCCCCUCCAAUAGGUUAAAACCUGCGUUCCACGCUUUAAAGAUGGUUCCCCGGGCCAUUAAUUAGUUGGGGGAGGAAAGGCCUCCCCCAGGCGGGUUGAUGCUAGCCGGAGUGGAAGGACUCCCCCGCCCCCAGUUGGGAAUGAAGCACGGCCCCAAACUUCCUGGGGGGAGGCUGCAGUAGGGAAUCUUCCCACAAGGGGCGCAACCUUGAUGAGCAACGCCGCGUGUGUGAUGAGGCUUUCGGGUCGUAAAGCACUGUUGUAUGGGAAGAACGGGUUUAAGAGGAAAUGCUUAAACAGUGACGGUACCAUACCAGAAAGGGACGGCUAAAUACGUGCCAGCAGCCGCGGUAAUACGUAUGUCCCGAGCGUUAUCCGGAUUUAUUGGGCGUAAAGCGAGCGCAGACGGUUGCUUAAGUCUGAAGUGAAAGCCCACAGCUCAACUGUGGAAUGGCUUUGGAAACUGGGCAACUUGAGUGCAGUAGAGGUAAGUGGAACUCCAUGUGUAGCGGUGGAAUGCGUAGAUAUAUGGAAGAACACCAGUGGCGAAGGCGGCUUACUGGACUGCAACUGACGUUGAGGCUCGAAAGUGUGGGUAGCAAACAGGAUUAGAUACCCUGGUAGUCCACACCGUAAACGAUGGAUACUAGUUGUUAGAGGGUUUCCGCCCUUUAGUGACGAAGCAAACGCAUUAAGUAUCCCGCCUGGGGAGUACGACCGCAAGGUUGAAACUCAAAGGAAUUGACGGGGACCCGCACAAGCGGUGGAGCAUGUGGUUUAAUUCGAAGCAACGCGAAGAACCUUACCAGGUCUUGACAUCCUUUGAAGGUACUAGAGAUAGUACUGUCUUCUUCGGAAGCAAAGUGACAGGUGGUGCAUGGCCGUCGUCAGCUCGUGUCGUGAGAUGUUGGGUUAAGUCCCGCAACGAGCGCAACCCUUAUGUUUAGUUGCCAGCAUUCAGUUGGGCACUCUAGACAGACUGCCGGUGACAAACCGGAGGAAGGCGGGGACGACGUCAGGUCAUCAUGCCCCUUAUGACCUGGGCUACACACGUGCUACAAUGGCGUAUACAACGAGCAGCAAACCUGUGAAGGUAAGCGAAUCUCUUAAAGUACGUCUCAGUUCGGAUUGUAGUCUGCAACUCGACUACAUGAAGUCGGAAUCGCUAGUAAUCGCGGAUCAGCAUGCCGCGGUGAAUACGUUCCCGGGUCUUGUACACACCGCCCGUCACACCAUGGGAGUUGGUAAUGCCCAAAGCCGGUGGCCUAACCUUCGGGGAGGAGCCGUCUAAGGCAGGACUGAUGACUGGGGGAAGUCGAACAAAGAUUAAGUGU
rnacentral:rRNA from 1 species